UAGGCUGCCUUAUUAAAAUGGCCAACUCAAAAGCAGCAAUGUACAAGUUCACAGCCUGUCACAGAACGGUUUUGGUUUCUGUAGCUAAUUUCCCACUUCAUGACAACUGUACGAGGGGAGAAUUUUUAUAUAACUCACCCAUUUAAAUGGUAUUAACGCUUAAAGUUAUGCAUGGCCACUUUAAGUGACAGGUGGGAGCCUCACUGUUGGCUAGACGCUUGCUAUCGACCCGGCGUCACCUUAGCUAACUCGAGGGCUAGUCAAUGACCGCUCGGCCGUGUUUGUGAUGUUUGGAAGAUUUUUCAUGGAAAUAUCGGACAAACACUGUGGUUUGACGAGCUUGAAGACAAACGUGAACAUCUGCUCCUGCCUUUUGAGCUGCCCCUGGACUGUUCUGACCUCCCGAGAUCCCCGAGCCACAAACUGAGGAGCUGCUCGAUCACAGGACCUGCAUUCAUUUAUCGCCAUCUGCUGUUUAUCCCUGGGAAGGCCCAUCGCUGCCUGUCAGAGUGAAAGUCUGGACUCUUCCCGGUUGGCUCGUGUCCUCUGUCCCAUCCUCGUUUACUUCCACCACAUGGAGCCUGGGCUGGUACUUGUGAAGAGACUGGAGAACCACCAUCUGGAGAUCCGGUUAAAAGAAACUUACUUUCAAACUUUUGAUUAACGAUUAAAACAUCAUAUUAAACAGA